CACAAACUGCAAAUACGUCAGAUGUGUGA
rnacentral:piRNA from 1 species